CCUACGGGAGGCAGCAGUGGGGAAUCUUGCGCAAUGGGCGAAAGCCUGACGCAGCGACGCCGCGUGUGGGAAGAAGGCCUUCGGGUUGUAAACCACUUUCAGGGGGGACGAAGCCACUCGGGUGAAUAGCCCAGAGGGUGACGGUACCUUCAGAAGAAGCCCCGGCUAACUACGUGCCAGCAGCCGCGGUAAUACGUAGGGGGCAAGCGUUGUCCGGAUUUAUUGGGCGUAAAGCGCGUGUAGGUGGCUUUACAGGUCCGCUGUGAAAACUCGAGGCUCAACCUCGAGACGUCGGCGGAAACCGUAUGGCUAGAGUCCGGAAGAGGAGAGCGGAAUUCCUGGUGUAGCGGUGAAAUGCGCAGAUAUCAGGAAGAACACCCGUGGCGAAGGCGGCUCUCUGGGACGGUACUGACACUGAGACGCGAAAGCGUGGGGAGCGAACAGGAUUAGAUACCCAGGUAGUCCACGCCGUAAACGAUGGGUGCUAGGUGUGGGGGGUGUCGACUCCCCCUGUGCCGAAGCUAACGCAUAGCACCCGCCGUCGGGAGGACGGCCGCGAGACGUAAACGUACAANAGUAAGUUGUACGGCGUUGAGACGUUGCCGACGGCGACGACGAGGGGAGGAGG
rnacentral:rRNA from 1 species